GGGUUGUGAGGUUAAGCGACUAAGCGUACACGGUGGAUGCCCUGGCAGUCAGAGGCGAUGAAGGACGUGCUAAUCUGCGAUAAGCGUCGGUGAGGUGAUAUGAACCGUUAUAACCGGCGAUUUCCGAAUGGGGAAACCCAGUGUGUUUCGACACACUAUCAUUAACUGAAUCCAUAGGUUAAUGAGGCGAACCGGGGGAACUGAAACAUCUAAGUACCCCGAGGAAAAGAAAUCAACCGAGAUUCCCCCAGUAGCGGCGAGCGAACGGGGAGGAGCCCAGAGCCUGAAUCAGUGUGUGUGUUAGUGGAAGCGUCUGGAAAGGCGCGCGAUACAGGGUGACAGCCCCGUACACAAAAAUGCACAUGCUGUGAGCUCGAUGAGUAGGGCGGGACACGUGGUAUCCUGUCUGAAUAUGGGGGACCAUCCUCCAAGGCUAAAUACUCCUGACUGACCGAUAGUGAACCAGUACCGUGAGGGAAAGGCGAAAAGAACCCCGGCGAGGGGAGUGAAAAAGAACCUGAAACCGUGUACGUACAAGCAGUGGGAGCCUCUUAAUGGGGUGACUGCGUACCUUUUGUAUAAUGGGUCAGCGACUUAUAUUCUGUAGCAAGGUUAACCGAAUAGGGGAGCCGAAGGGAAACCGAGUCUUAACUGGGCGUUAAGUUGCAGGGUAUAGACCCGAAACCCGGUGAUCUAGCCAUGGGCAGGUUGAAGGUUGGGUAACACUAACUGGAGGACCGAACCGACUAAUGUUGAAAAAUUAGCGGAUGACUUGUGGCUGGGGGUGAAAGGCCAAUCAAACCGGGAGAUAGCUGGUUCUCCCCGAAAGCUAUUUAGGUAGCGCCUCGUGAAUUCAUCUCCGGGGGUAGAGCACUGUUUCGGCAAGGGGGUCAUCCCGACUUACCAACCCGAUGCAAACUGCGAAUACCGGAGAAUGUUAUCACGGGAGACACACGGCGGGUGCUAACGUCCGUCGUGAAGAGGGAAACAACCCAGACCGCCAGCUAAGGUCCCAAAGUCAUGGUUAAGUGGGAAACGAUGUGGGAAGGCCCAGACAGCCGGAUGUUGGCUUAGAAGCAGCCAUCAUUUAAAGAAAGCGUAAUAGCUCACUGGUCGAGUCGGCCUGCGCGGAAGAUGUAACGGGGCUAAACCAUGCACCGAAGCUGCGGCAGCGACACUAUGUGUUGUUGGGUAGGGGAGCGUUCUGUAAGCCUGUGAAGGUGUGCUGUGAGGCAUGCUGGAGGUAUCAGAAGUGCGAAUGCUGACAUAAGUAACGAUAAAGCGGGUGAAAAGCCCGCUCGCCGGAAGACCAAGGGUUCCUGUCCAACGUUAAUCGGGGCAGGGUGAGUCGACCCCUAAGGCGAGGCCGAAAGGCGUAGUCGAUGGGAAACAGGUUAAUAUUCCUGUACUUGGUGUUACUGCGAAGGGGGGACGGAGAAGGCUAUGUUGGCCGGGCGACGGUUGUCCCGGUUUAAGCGUGUAGGCUGGUUUUCCAGGCAAAUCCGGAAAACCAAGGCUGAGGCGUGAUGACGAGGCACUACGGUGCUGAAGCGACAAAUGCCCUGCUUCCAGGAAAAGCCUCUAAGCAUCAGGUAACAUCAAAUCGUACCCCAAACCGACACAGGUGGUCAGGUAGAGAAUACCAAGGCGCUUGAGAGAACUCGGGUGAAGGAACUAGGCAAAAUGGUGCCGUAACUUCGGGAGAAGGCACGCUGAUAUGUAGGUGAAGCGACUUGCUCGUGGAGCUGAAAUCAGUCGAAGAUACCAGCUGGCUGCAACUGUUUAUUAAAAACACAGCACUGUGCAAACACGAAAGUGGACGUAUACGGUGUGACGCCUGCCCGGUGCCGGAAGGUUAAUUGAUGGGGUUAGCGGUAACGCGAAGCUCUUGAUCGAAGCCCCGGUAAACGGCGGCCGUAACUAUAACGGUCCUAAGGUAGCGAAAUUCCUUGUCGGGUAAGUUCCGACCUGCACGAAUGGCGUAAUGAUGGCCGGCUGUCUCCACCCGAGACUCAGUGAAAUUGAACUCGCUGUGAAGAUGCAGUGUACCCGCGGCAAGACGGAAAGACCCCGUGAACCUUUACUAUAGCUUGACACUGAACAUUGAGCCUUGAUGUGUAGGAUAGGUGGGAGGCUUUGAAGUGUGGACGCCAGUCUGCAUGGAGCCGACCUUGAAAUACCACCCUUUAAUGUUUGAUGUUCUAACGUUGGCCCGUAAUCCGGGUUGCGGACAGUGUCUGGUGGGUAGUUUGACUGGGGCGGUCUCCUCCUAAAGAGUAACGGAGGAGCACGAAGGUUGGCUAAUCCUGGUCGGACAUCAGGAGGUUAGUGCAAUGGCAUAAGCCAGCUUGACUGCGAGCGUGACGGCGCGAGCAGGUGCGAAAGCAGGUCAUAGUGAUCCGGUGGUUCUGAAUGGAAGGGCCAUCGCUCAACGGAUAAAAGGUACUCCGGGGAUAACAGGCUGAUACCGCCCAAGAGUUCAUAUCGACGGCGGUGUUUGGCACCUCGAUGUCGGCUCAUCACAUCCUGGGGCUGAAGUAGGUCCCAAGGGUAUGGCUGUUCGCCAUUUAAAGUGGUACGCGAGCUGGGUUUAGAACGUCGUGAGACAGUUCGGUCCCUAUCUGCCGUGGGCGCUGGAGAACUGAGGGGGGCUGCUCCUAGUACGAGAGGACCGGAGUGGACGCAUCACUGGUGUUCGGGUUGUCAUGCCAAUGGCACUGCCCGGUAGCUAAAUGCGGAAGAGAUAAGUGCUGAAAGCAUCUAAGCACGAAACUUGCCCCGAGAUGAGUUCUCCCUGAGACUUAGAGUCUCCUGAAGGAACGUUGAAGACGACGACGUUGAUAGGCCGGGUGUGUAAGCGCAGCGAUGCGUUGAGCUAACCGGUACUAAUGAACCGUGAGGCUUAACCUUACAACGCCGAAG
rnacentral:rRNA from 1 species